AGCAGCCGCGGUAAUUCCAGCUCCAAUAGCGUAUAUUAAAGUUGUUGCAGUUAAAAAGCUCGUAGUUGAAUUUCGGGAUCAAUAUAUCGGUCGUGCCAUCGGUACGUACUGGUAUGAUUGGUUUCUACCUUCUGAAGAACCUUGAUGUCAUUAAUUUGGUGUCUUGGGGAAUCAGGGCUGUUACUUUGAAAAAAU
rnacentral:rRNA from 1 species